UACGGGGGGGCAAGCGUUGUUCGGAAUUACUGGGCGUAAAGGGCUUGUAGGUGGCCAACUAAGUCAGACGUGAAAUCCCUCGGCUUAACCGGGGAACUGCGUCUGAUACUGGAUGGCUAGAGUGUGGGAGAGGGAUGCGGAAUUCCAGGUGUAGCGGUGAAAUGCGCAGAUAGUCGGGAGGAACGACCGGUGGCGAAGGCGGUUCUCUGGGCCUUACCUGACGCUGAGGAGCGAAAGCGUGGGGAGCGAACAGG
rnacentral:rRNA from 1 species